rnacentral:rRNA from 1 species
UGGGGAAUUUUGGACAAUGGGCGAAAGCCUGAUCCAGCAAUGCCGCGUGUGUGAAGAAGGCCUUCGGGUUGUAAAGCACUUUUGUCCGGAAAGAAAUCCUUGGCUCUAAUACAGUCGGGGGAUGACGGUACCGGAAGAAUAAGCACCGGCUAACUACGUGCCAGCAGCCGCGGUAAUACGUAGGGUGCAAGCGUUAAUCGGAAUUACUGGGCGUAAAGCGUGCGCAGGCGGUUUGCUAAGACCGAUGUGAGAUCCCCGGGCUCAACCUGGGAACUGCAUUGGUGACUGGCAGGCUAGAGUAUGGCAGAGGGGGGUAGAAUUCCACGUGUAGCAGUGAAAUGCGUAGAGAUGUGGAGGAAUACCGAUGGCGAAGGCAGCCCCCUGGGCCAAUACUGACGCUCGUGCACGAAAGCGUGGGGAGCAAACAGGAUUAGAUACCCUGGUAGUCCACGCCCUAAACGAUGUCAACUAGUUGUUGGGGAUUCAUUUCCUUAGUAACGUAGCUAACGCGUGAAGUUGACCGCCUGGGGAGUACGGUCGCAAGAUUAAAACUCAAAUGAAUUGACGGGGUCAUAGCUGUUUCCU